AGUGGCAGACGGGUGAGUAAUGUAUAGGAAUCUACCUAGCAGUACGGAAUAAUUGUUGGAAACGGCAACUAAUACCGUAUACGCCCUACGGGGGAAAAAUUUAUUGCUAUUAGAUGAGCCUAUAUUAGAUUAGUUAGUUGGUGAGGUAAAGGCUUACCAAGACAAUGAUCUAUAGCUGAUCUGAGAGGAUGAUCAGCCACACUGGAACUGAGAUACGGUCCAGACUCCUACGGGAGGCAGCAGUGGGGAAUAUUGGACAAUGGGCGAAAGCCUGAUCCAGCCAUGCCGCAUGAGUGAAGAAGGCCUUCGGGUUGUAAAGCUCUUUUAGUGAGGAAGAUAAUGACGGUACUCACAGAAGAAGUCCUGGCUAACUCCGUGCCAGCAGCCGCGGUAAUACGGAGAGGGCUAGCGUUAUUCGGAAUCAUUGGGCGUAAAGGGCGCGUAGGCGGGUUAGUAAGUUAAAAGUGAAAUCCCAAGGCUCAACCUUGGAACUGCUUUUAAAACUGCUAGUCUAGAGAUUGAAAGAGGAUAGAGGAAUUCCUAGUGUAGAGAUGAAAUUCGUAAAUAUUAGGAGGAACACCAGUGGCGAAGGCGUCUAUCUGGUUCAAAUCUGACGCUGAGGCGCGAAGGCGUGGGGAGCAAACAGGAUUAGAUACCCUGGUAGUCCACGCUGUAAACGAUGAAUGUUAAAUAUGGGAAGUUUACUUUCUGUAUUAUAGCUAACGCGUUAAACAUUCCGCCUGGGGACUACNGUCGCAAGAUUAAAACUCAAAGGA
rnacentral:rRNA from 1 species